GGAGAAAUGCCGGAGUGGUCGAUCGGGACGGUCUCGAAAACCGUUGUACUGGCAACGGUACCGAGGGUUCGAAUCCCUCUUUCUCCGCCA
rnacentral:tRNA from 5 species